UACAGAGGUGGCAAGCGUUGUUCGGAAUUACUGGGCGUAAAGGGCGCGUAGGCGGCCUUCUAAGUCAGACGUGAAAUCCCCCGGCUUAACCUGGGAACUGCGUCUGAUACUGGAUGGCUUGAGUUCGGGAGAGGGAUGCGGAAUUCCAGGUGUAGCGGUGAAAUGCGUAGAUAUCUGGAGGAACACCGGUGGCGAAGGCGGCAUCCUGGACCGACACUGACACUGAGGAGCGAAAGCCAGGGGAGCAAACGGG
rnacentral:rRNA from 1 species